GGUUGACUUAUACGACCGUAGGUUGUUUCUUGAUUCUAGAAUUUUUUAGGUACUCGAAGAGGACUCUUAGGUUGAGCUCAUGAUGACUGAAAGUGGCUAAUUGGAAUAGCAUAUUUGCCCAGACUUUUUCGAUGCUCAAUAUUUAUUGAAUUUCAAAAUUCUUAAAAGCCAAAAAUAGCUCCUCGAGUCUUAUAAGUAUUUGAUCAUUGUUGGCUUCUGCAGGAGCUACCUCCCAAUUAUAGGUGCUGAUUGGU
rnacentral:lncRNA from 1 species